GAUGAACGCUGGCGGCGUGCCUAAUACAUGCAAGUCGAGCGAACAGACGAGGAGCUUGCUCCUCUGACGUUAGCGGCGGACGGGUGAGUAACACGUGGAUAACCUACCUAUAAGACUGGGAUAACUUCGGGAAACCGGAGCUAAUACCGGAUAGUAUAUUGAACCGCAUGGUUCAAUAGUGAAAGACGGUUUUGCUGUCACUUAUAGAUGGAUCCGCGCCGCAUUAGCUAGUUGGUAAGGUAACGGCUUAUCAAGGCGACGAUGCGUAGCCGACCUGAGAGGGUGAUCGGCCACACUGGAACUGAGACACGGUCCAGACUCCUACGGGAGGCAGCAGUAGGGAAUCUUCCGCAAUGGGCGAAAGCCUGACGGAGCAACGCCGCGUGAGUGAUGAAGGUCUUCGGAUCGUAAAACUCUGUUAUUAGGGAAGAACAAAUGUGUAAGUAACUAUGCACGUCUUGACGGUACCUAAUCAGAAAGCCACGGCUAACUACGUG
rnacentral:rRNA from 1 species